AAUGCAUUACGAUAGAUGAAAUCGUGUUUCUUAUCAUUUCCUAUAGAAACAUAAUCUAAAAUUCUUUAUCCUACUGUACCUAAUUUAAUAGCUUUUUGUUUGUUUUUUUAGGCUGAUUUUAUUAAGUGCAGAAUCCCAGGAAGCCUGUUGAUCUGGCGGAGAACAACUGUCUGGCCGAAAGGACAUGUGUGAGGCCGCAGAUCUGCUCUCCUGCAAAAGCGAGAAAAACAAAUUAUGUAAGAUGUCCUGUCGCCCUUCAGCCCAAGGCUGGUUACCCACUGAAGCUACUGUAAGCAGGGAUGAGUCUGCCUGAAGGGGUGAAGAUAUCAUCUGAACCAGUCCACCCGCCACUGUGGUCCCUGACAUCCAGACUCCAGCCAGUUCUCUGUUUGUUUUCCUUUAAUGUCCAUUGAUUUUUCACAUGGGGAAAUAAUCCCUGUGAUGUCGCAUCACAUUUGCUGAUGUUUGAAGACGAUUAUAUAAUGUCUGAUAACAGAAGUGAUUGCCAUACCGCUUUGUUCAAAUCUCUUAAGAAAAGCCCAUCAUUUUAAAUUGAUUGUUCCUCUGAUGCUAGUGGUGGACUUGGUAAAUACAUUCCCACCAUCUUUCAAGUGUCUCAAAGGAAACUGGUUCUGAGAAGAAAUAAAAGAGGUGAGAUGGAAAGAUCAGCGUGUAUACAGAAUGAAAUGUUCUCCGUUUCUUUUUUUGUGCAAUCAAACAUGAGCAUUUGAGUGCAUAGUAUUAACUUGACUUAUAGACUUACAGACCUUUUGAUGGUUUAUUAAGUCUACGUAGAAAACACAUCUUAAAAACAAUAAAAUAUUGCUUUAAAUUUGAUCCCGUGAGCAAGAACGUAGCAAGUGAAUAUGUUAGUUGAAAAUCGGUUUCGUAUGUAUAAGUGAACUAGUUAAAUUAACAAAAUGAAGUGCCCCCAAAUGAACCAUUGAAUUGCCUCUUUCAGAAAGCACUCAUUUCCCAUCGCUUAAUCUGGAAAUCAGCAAAUCUAUAAUUACUACCGUACAGUUUACUCUGUGCUAUAAUUAGUUUACUUUGAAAGCCUCUUUGCUGUUAUGUCUAAAUGCAUAACCAAAGCUGGACAGUUACAGGAGACAGUUACAUUACACAACCUUUCAAAUCUGAGGAGAUGGUAACAUGCUUGGCCUAUUUUCAUUUUAGUUUUCACAUUUAAUAAGAAUUUACAGAUUUCUAACUUUUUAGAUUUUGAGUGUAUAGACAAAUCGAUUCUGAAGCACAUUCACACAGGUUUUGGAGGAGACCUCUGUUAUUUGGGGAACACCCUGCGUGCUGUCAGUCUCGCUGUUUGUUUUGGCUCCUGGGGGCUUCCUGAGUCAAAUGCGUCUCAGGUUUGGAACAAGAACAUAAGUCUGUAAGUUCUACCUUGAAACAGUGUUUGUCUCUUCUUAAAAUAUUACGAUGGAAAGAGUAUCUUACAAGUACAAUGGAUGUUAUGUGUUUAGUUUAAUUCACUUCCAGUGAGCUUGACUUGCACUGUGAUCUAUUGACUUGCAUUGAGACUAAACUGCAAGAUGGUAACAGUGUUUGUUAAUUUUGGAAAGUGUGUUGUUAAUAGAUAAAUUGACAUUUCAUAAACGUUCUUGACCAAAUGAACUUUAACCCAUUUUUGUUUCUUAAUAGUGUGUACUCAUUUACGUGAGAUACACGUGUCGUGACUGAUGGAAAUUGCCCACAAUAACCUUGGGAAAAAUACUGUUUAUAUCUCAUUUCCUCUCGAGUUCCACCUCAGUACAAGUUCUGAAAGUCAAUGACAUACAAUGUUGAUCAAAAAACAUUUCGAAGCCAAUUUUGUCCCCACUCUUUCCAUCUGUAAUACAACUUGGGGUAGCAACACACAGUGAUGACACGUCCUUAACACUUCAGAUGUGUCAACAGGCCCUCAGCAGACAAAACACUGAACAUCUGUCCCGGCAACUCGUUCCCACUCCCACAUACUGCCGCUUGGUCUGAACGAUUUUUCUUCACUUUUUGACGCGCUAGGAACCCCUUUAGUGGAAUUUUUCCACGUGAAGGUCAUCCGUUGUUUUCAAUUGUUUGUCUUAAUUUAAUGAUCUGCAUGCAUUUGUAAAAAAAAAAGGGAAAAAAAAAUAUUGAUAUUCAUUUUAUACUUUUAUUGGAUCACCUAACCCUACUUUUACCCUAAACCUAGCCAUUUCUGACCAAUAUAAAACAAACACAGGCAUAUAGUGUGGUCACGGGUAUUUAUUAUAAAAACUGACAAUAUUAAACAGCGUUAAAGCAUUACGUUGUCGUGUUUCAUUCCAAGUCCUUCUGAAGCGCUGCAAUGUCUUUAUGCAAAGAAGAGAGUAGAACUCGCGGUUUUAACUGCUGAAAAUGAUCCCCGCUCAUAUCUCCUUCCAAAAAAUACACAAGCCAUACAAGGGCCAUACAAGGGCCAAUCGUAUUUCACAACCAAGGCUGACGUAAGGCUUCGUCUGUUCUUCUCACAAAUCAAUCCUUUUGAUUCGGAAGAUUUGGAAUAUUAAUCCUUUUUGAAUAAAUAAUGGUGAUAGUUGUAUCUGCUUUUGAUAACUUGUGUUUUGUUAACCAAUGGUAGG